rnacentral:rRNA from 1 species
AUUGAACGCUAGCGGGAUGCUUUACACAUGCAAGUCGAACGAGUGGCGGACGGGUGAGUAAUAUAUCGGAACGUGCCCAGUAGCGGGGGAUAACUACUCGAAAGAGUGGCUCAUACCGCCUACUAUUGGAGUGGACGAUAUCGGAUGAGCAAGUUGGGGGGGUAAAGGCUCACAAAGGCAACGAUCCGUAGCUGGUUUGAGAGGGCGACCAGCCACACGGGGACGUAGACACGGCCCAGACUCCUACGGGAGGCAGCAGUGGGGAAUUUUGGACAAUGGUGGAAGCCCGAAUCCAGACAUCCCGCGGGUAUGAGAAGGCCUUCGGGUUGUAAAGUACGUGUGGCAGAGAAGCGGUAUCUGCAGAAUAAGCACCGGCUAACUACGUGCCAGCCGCCGCGGUAAUAC